GCAAGUCGAGGGGUAACGGAAGUAGCUUGCUACUAGACGACGACCGGCGCACGGGUGAGUAACGCGUAUGUAAUCUGCCUUGUACAGAGGGAUAGCCCAGAGAAAUUUGGAUUAAUACCUCAUAGUAUUACUGAAUCGCAUGAUUUGGUAAUUAAAGCUCCGGCGGUACAAGAUGAACAUGCGUGACAUUAGCUAGUUGGUAAGGUAACGGCUUACCAAGGCCACGAUGUCUAGGGGUUCUGAGAGGAUGAUCCCCCACACUGGUACUGAGACACGGACCAGACUCCUACGGGAGGCAGCAGUGAGGAAUAUUGGUCAAUGGACGCAAGUCUGAACCAGCCAUCCCGCGUGAAGGAUGACUGCCCUAUGGGUUGUAAACUUCUUUUAUAUGCAAAUAAACCUACUUUCGUGAAAGUAGCUGAAGGUAGCAUAUGAAUAAACACCGGCUAACUCCGUGCCAGCAGCCGCGGUAAUACGGAGGGUGUAA
rnacentral:rRNA from 1 species